rnacentral:rRNA from 1 species
AGAGUUUGAUCCUGGCUCAGGACGAACGCUGGCGGCGUGCCUAACACAUGCAAGUGGAGCGACGAACCAGGCUUCGGCCUGGGGCAAAGCCGCGAACGGGUGAGUAACACGUGGGUAACCUGCCCCGAUGACUGGGACAACCCGAGGAAACUCGGGCUAAUACCGGAUGUGCUCUGCCGGCAUAUGCCGGCUCGAGCAAAGGAAGCUUCGGCCUCCGCAUCGGGAGGGGCCCGCGGCCCAUUAGCUAGUUGGUGAGGUAACGGCUCACCAAGGCCGCGAUGGGUAGCUGGUCUGAGAGGAUGAUCAGCCACACUGGGACUGAGACACGGCCCAGACUCCUACGGGAGGCAGCAGUGGGGAAUAUUGGACAAUGGGCGAAAGCCUGAUCCAGCAAUGCCGCGUGAGUGAUGAAGGCCUAGGGUUGUAAAGCUCUUUUACCCGGGAUGAUAAUGACAGUACCGGGAGAAUAAGCUCCGGCUAACUCCGUGCCAGCAGCGGCGGUAAUAC